AUAGGUUCGAGGUGGAAGUGCGGCAACGUAUGCAGCUGACGAAUACUAAUCGGUCGAGGGCUUAACCAAA
rnacentral:rRNA from 1 species